ACUACAGCCACUACUACAAGACCAUCCAGGACCUGCGGGACAAGAUUCUUGGUGCCACCAUUGAUAACUCCAGGAUUGUCCUGCAAAUC
rnacentral:miRNA from 1 species